GACGAACGCUGGCGGCGUGCUUAACACAUGCAAGUCGAACGGAAAGGCCCUGCUUUUGUGGGGUGCUCGAGUGGCGAACGGGUGAGUAACACGUGAGUAACCUGCCCUUGACUUUGGGAUAACUUCAGGAAACUGGGGCUAAUACCGGAUAGGAGCUCCUGCUGCAUGGUGGGGGUUGGAAAGUUUCGGCGGUUGGGGAUGGACUCGCGGCUUAUCAGCUUGUUGGUGGGGUAGUGGCUUACCAAGGCUUUGACGGGUAGCCGGCCUGAGAGGGUGACCGGCCACAUUGGGACUGCGAUACGGCCCAGACUCCUACGGGAGGCAGCAGUGGGGAAUAUUGCACAAUGGGCGGACGCCUGAUGCAGCAAUGCCGCGUGCGGGAUGACGGGCUUUGGGUUGUAAACCGCUUUCGCCUGUGACGAAGCGUGAGUGACGGUAAUGGGUAAAGAAGCACCGGCUAACUACGUG
rnacentral:rRNA from 1 species